GGAGAGGGAAGGGGCAGCGGGAGGGAGGCUUGGGGUUACAAAGGGACAUCCCAGGUAGGCAGAGGUCACAUCAGAAAUACUCCAGCUGGGGAUGCAUGCAUGAUAGACUGCAUACAAGCAGGCAGGUUUAUAAAGAGUGCUCCAGCCCAGGACAUGCUUGUAAAAUGCACCGUUGCCUGGAUGCUAGCAAAAUGAGGACAUGUGGAUCUCUGAAUGGGGAAGCAGAGGAUCUUUAUGAGAACAAACCACAGGAUAGGUUGUUAUUUGCAUCGUCUCUGAGAAAUGAGUAGGAGUGAUAGGUUUCGAGUCAUCCUGCCAGUAUUUAAUUGCGGUAGAUCAGGUUUCUUAAGUGCUUCAAAGCAACUGGAUGGGACAAAAUCAUCAGGAUUUGAAAGGAAGAACGGGACUGCAGGCACUCAGUAGUCAAUGUGAUUUCUUGCAUUCGUUUUGCUGGUUCUCUGAGUAGUGGUCAGGCCCUUGUGGGGAGCUGGAGGUCAACACCAGGCUGCAGCAUGCUGCCACAUGCAGUCUCUCGCCAGGUGACCUGGAGAACAUGCUGCUUGCUUUUCUGCCUCAUCAGACGAAAUGGAUAAUUCCCCUGCCCCGAGUUCCCUUCUUUGGAUUUACUUCUGAGGCUUGUUCAUCCAUGCUAAGACUAGGCUUACCAAGAGCACAGAUCAACGAGACCAAUAUGGUACUCAUCCCUUCCUUUGAUGGGCCCAUACAAAUUAAUGUGCUUGCACAAGACGGGGCCCUGGGACAGCAUAUCAUGCUCCUUUUCUGGAUGUGGAGUUAAAGCACUAUUCAUAACUCAUCCCUAACUGCUUCAAAGGAGCAGAUAUGAUCAUAGUGGAAUCAAGAAAUGAAUGUUAAAACAGAGGCAAAAGAGUGAAAUAUAUUACACUGAUGACAUUAUGGCAACAUAAUGAAGAAACUGAAAGGUGCAAAAUGAGAUCUUGUAUUUUCCUAAGUUUAGUAAACCUAUUCUUUCAUACUUUAUGGUUGUAAGGAACAUCAAUAAGAUUGAUUUUUAAAAGGCUGUACAAUGUUAAAAUUAUACCAUGUUGCUUGCAGCUUCAGUAUUAUUUCCACUUACAAUGGGCCAUUACCUAUACACUGUUCUUUGCAGGGAAAAUAAUAAAUUAAUUGCUG
rnacentral:lncRNA from 1 species